CUCCUUUGACGUUAGCGGCGGACGGGUGAGUAACUCGUGGGUAACCUACCUAUAAGACUGGGAUAACUUCGGGAAACCGGAGCUAAUACCGGAUAAUAUUUCGAACCGCAUGGUUCGAUAGUGAAAGGUGGUUUUGCUAUCACUUAUAGAUGGACCCGCGCCGUAUUAGCUAGUUGGUAAGGUAACGGCUUACCAAGGCGACGAUACGUAGCCGACCUGAGAGGGUGAUCGGCCACACUGGAACUGAGACACGGUCCAGACUCCUACGGGAGGCAGCAGCC
rnacentral:rRNA from 1 species